GUUUCCUAAAACAGAUAAAGAAGAAGCUAAAAGUCAGUUUUCCAGUGACUACAUUCCCCAUGCAAUUUUCUCUUAGAAAUCGCCGUUCACACAAACUCACACAUUUGUGAGCAUGUAUCCGUGGACACAUUUGAUUUCACACCACACAUUGAGAGAGAGAGAGAGAGAGAGAGAGAGAGAGAUAGCAUGAAUGGAGAUGUAUUCUCCAACCUUACCAGCAAAAUUUCAGCAACCAUGAUAAAGAAAGCUGACUUAACCAAAUAUACAAACUUUUUAGAAAAGACAGAUAGUUUUGCAGCCACUUUCCUUUAGGUAGAACAUGCGAAAAUAUUGU